rnacentral:tRNA from 1 species
GCCCUCAUAGCUCAGUCGGUAGAGCACACCCUUGGUAAGGGUGGGGUCAUGGGUUCAACUCCCAUUGAGGGCUCCA